ensembl:rRNA 5S_rRNA 5S ribosomal RNA
UUCAUCAGCCAUAUCACUCUGAAACUCACAACUCACAACUGGCAACCCACUGAAGCUAAGCAGGUGUGAGCCUGGUCAGUACCUGGAUGGGAGACCUCCUGGGAAAGCUAAGGUUGCUGCUGGAA